GCACGCCUGUCGGGACCCGAAAGAUGGUGAACUAUGCCUGAGCGGGGCGAAGCCAGAGGAAACUCUGGUGGAGGCUCGAAGCGAUACUGACGUGCAAAUCGUUCGUCUGACUUGGGUCACGGGGCGAAAGACUAAUCGAACCAUCUAGUAGCUGGUUCCCUCCGAAGUUUCCCUCAGGAUAGCUGGAGCCCAUUACGAGUUCUAUCAGGUAAAGCCAAUGAUUAGAGGCAUUGGGGACGCAACGUCCUCGACCUAUUCUCAAACUUUAAA
rnacentral:ncRNA from 1 species